rnacentral:rRNA from 1 species
UGGGGAAUCUUGCACAAUGGGGGAAACCCUGAUGCAGCGACGCCGCGUGAGCGAUGAAGGUUUUCGAAUCGUAAAGCUCUGUCCUAUGGGAAGAUAAUGACGGUACCAUGGGAGGAAGCCCCGGCUAACUACGUGCCAGCAGCCGCGGUAAUACGUAGGGGGCUAGCGUUGUCCGGAAUCACUGGGCGUAAAGGGUUCGCAGGCGGAAAUGCAAGUCAGGUGUAAAAGGCAGUAGCUUAACUACUGUAAGCAUUUGAAACUGCAUAUCUUGAGAAGAGUAGAGGUAAGUGGAAUUUUUAGUGUAGCGGUGAAAUGCGUAGAUAUUAAAAAGAAUACCGGUGGCGAAGGCGACUUACUGGGCUCAUUCUGACGCUGAGGAACGAAAGCGUGGGUAGCAAACAGG